rnacentral:rRNA from 1 species
GGAGGUCCGAACCCACGAGCGUUGAAAAGCUCGGGGAUGACUUGUGGGUAGCGGUGAAAUUCCAAUCGAGCCCGGAGAUAGCUGGUUCUCCCCGAAAUAGCUUUAGGGCUAGCCUCAAGGUGAGAGAGACGGAGGUAGAGCACUGAAUGUCCUAGGGGGUAUUGCACCUACCGAAGACUAUCAAACUCCGAAUGCCGUCAUCU